UGUGGAGAAGGCUAGAGGCUAGUUCUAUCUUGGAGCUCCCCUCAGACAGCUUCUCUUCAGAUCGGUCACCUUUGUAACGGAGGACUUGGUUUCUGAAUCUGUGACUGUUCUCAGAUUUCCACACAUCCCAGAGGGAAACAGAGAAGGAAACCUCAUCAGUUCCAUGCUACAAGUACAGAGUCUUCUGCCCAGUGGGUACUACAUAAGCACUUGCUGAUCUUUCCCUAAAGGUGCAAUGACCUCGAAUGGCCAAUACAGCAUUCUACAUGUGGUUGACAGUCCCUUCAGAAGACUACAAACUUCCUCAGGACAGGAACUUUUAUCUACUUCAUAUAUACCCAGCAGCUGGCAGCAUGUCUACCACAAAGGAGACACUUAAUAAAUACUUUUUCCAUUGUCUUACACUGGAUGUGUCCAAACAAAAUAACUGAUUUAAAAUAAAAGUCAUUCCAGACCAAUGUGAUAAAAUCA
rnacentral:lncRNA from 1 species